rnacentral:rRNA from 1 species
ACAGAGGUCCCAAGCGUUGUUCGGAUUCACUGGGCGUAAAGGGUGCGUAGGUGGCCGGGUAAGUUCGGUGUGAAAGCUCGGAGCUCAACUCCGAAAUGGCAUUGAAUACUAUCCGGCUUGAGGUUCGGAGGGGAGACUGGAAUUCUCGGUGUAGCAGUGAAAUGCGUAGAUAUCGAGAGGAACACCGGUGGCGAAGGCGAGUCUCUGGACGACACCUGACACUGAGGCACGAAAGCUAGGGGAGCAAACAGGA